ACCCAGCUUAUAAGUCCCAAAUAAGACGAAACGCACGUCCUGGAU
rnacentral:hammerhead_ribozyme from 1 species